CAAUAGCGUAUAUUAAAGUUGUUGCGGUUAAAAAGCUCGUAGUUGGAUUUCUGCUGAGGACGAUCGGUCCGCCCUCUGGGUGAGCAUUGACUCGGCCUUGGCAUCUUCUUGGAGAACGCUACUGCACUUGACUGUGUGGUGCGGUAUCCAGGACUUUUACUUUGAGGAAAUUAGAGUGUUUCAAGCAGGCGCACGCCUUGAAUACAUUAGCAUGGAAUAAUAAGAUAGGACCUUGGUACUAUUUUGUUGGUUUGCGUACCUAGGUAAUGAUUAAUAGGGACAGUUGGGGGUAUUCGUAUUCAAUUGUCAGAGGUGAAAUUCUUGGAUUUAUGGAAGACGAACUACUGCGAAAGCAUUUACCAAGGAUGUUUUCAUUAAUCAAGAACGAAAGUUAGGGAUCGAAGACGAUCAGAUACCAU
rnacentral:rRNA from 1 species